rnacentral:rRNA from 1 species
AUUGAACGCUGGCGGCAGGCCUAACACAUGCAAGUCGAACGAGUGGCGGACGGGUGAGUAAUGUAUGGGAAACUGCCUGAUGGAGGGGGAUAACUACUGGAAACGGUAGCUAAUACCGCAUACCCUCAGAUGUGCCCAGAUGGGAUUAGCUUGUUGGUGGGGUAACGGCUCACCAAGGCGACGAUCCCUAGCUGGUCUGAGAGGAGGAACAGCCACACUGGAAUGGAGACACGGGCCAGACGCCGACGGGAGGCAGCAGUGGGGAAUAUUGCACAAUGGGCGCAAGCCUGAUGCAGCCAUGCCGCGUGUAUGAAGAAGGCCUUCGGGUUAUAAAGUACUUUCAGCGGGGAGGCGUUAUCCGCAGAAGAAGCACCGGCUAACUCCGUGCCAGCCGCCGCGGUAAUUC